AACGAACGCUGGCGGCAGGCUUAACACAUGCAAGUCGAACGGGUGCAGCAAUGCAUCAGUGGCAGACGGGUGAGUAACACGUGGGAACCUUCCUAGGGGUACGGAACAACUCAGGGAAACUUGAGCUAAUACCGUAUACGUCCGUGAGGAGAAAGAUUUAUCGCCCUUAGACGGGCCCGCGUCGGAUUAGCUAGUUGGUGGGGUAACGGCCUACCAAGGCGACGAUCCGUAGCUGAUCUUAGAGGAUGAUCAGCCACACUGGGACCGAGACACGGCCCAGACUCCUACGGGAGGCAGCAGUGGGGAAUCUUGGACAAUGGGCGCAAGCCUGAUCCAGCCAUGCCGCGUGAGUGAAGAAGGUCUUCGGAUUGUAAAGCUCUUUUGCCAGGGACGAUAAUGACGGUACCUGGAGAAUAAGCCCCGGCAAACUUCGUGCCAGCAGCCGCAGUAAGA
rnacentral:rRNA from 1 species